rnacentral:rRNA from 1 species
AUUGAACGCUGGCGGCAGGCCUAACACAUGCAAGUCGAACGGUAACAGGAAGAAGCUUGCUUCUUUGCUGACGAGUGGCGGACGGGUGAGUAAUGUCUGGGAAACUGCCUGAUGGAGGGGGAUAACUACUGGAAACGGUAGCUAAUACCGCAUAACGUCGCAAGACCAAAGAGGGGGACCUUCGGGCCUCUUGCCAUCGGAUGUGCCCAGAUGGGAUUUGCUAGUAGGUGGGGUAACGGCUCACCUAGGCGACGAUCCCUAGCUGGUCUGAGAGGAUGACCAGCCACACUGGAACUGAGACACGGUCCAGACUCCUACGGGAGGCAGCAGUGGGGAAUAUUGCACAAUGGGCGCAAGCCUGAUGCAGCCAUGCCGCGUGUAUGAAGAAGGCCUUCGGGUUGUAAAGUACUUUCAGCGGGGAGGAAGGGAGUAAAGUUAAUACCUUUACUCAUUGACGUUACCCGCAGAAGAAGCACCGGCUAACUCCGUG